AGCAGCCGCGGUAAUUCCAGCUCCAAUAGCGUAUAUUAAAGUUGUUGCAGUUAAAAAGCUCGUAGUUGAAUUUCGGGAUUGACGUGAUGGUCGUGCCUUAUGGGGUAUGAACUGUUGCUGUUGAUUUCUCACCUUCUGGAGAAACUUGAUGUCCUUAAUUGGGUGUCUUGCGGAUCCAGGACCUUUACCUUGAAAAAUUAGAGUGUUUAAAGCAGGCAUUUUUGCUCGAAUACAUUAGCAUGGAAUAAUAGAAUAGGACGGCAUGGUUCUAUUUUGUUGGUUUCUAGGAUCACCGUAAUGAUUAAUAGGGAUAGUUGGGGGCAUUAGUAUUCAAUUGUCAGAGGUGAAAUUCUUGGAUUUAUUGAAGACUAACUACUGCGAAAGCAUUUGCCAAGGAUGUUUUCAUUAAUCAAGAACGAAAGUUAGGGGAUCGAAGACGAUCAGAUACCGUCGUAGUCUUAACCAUAA
rnacentral:rRNA from 1 species